CAAGUCGAACGCGCAGCAUUCUGUAGCAAUACAGGGUGUGGGCGCGUGGCGAACGGGUGCGUAACACGUGGAUAACCUUCCUUGAGGUGGGGAAUAACCCAGUGAAAAUUGGGCUAAUACCGCAUAACAUCGCGAUGGCACAUGCUGAUGCGAUCAAAGGCGCAAGUCGCCACAAGAGGGAUCCGCGGCCGAUUAGCUUGUUGGCGAGGUAAUGGCUCACCAAGGCAAUGAUCGGUAGCCGGACUGAGAGGUUGGCCGGCCACACUGGAACUGAGACACGGUCCAGACUCCUACGGGAGGCAGCAGUGGGGAAUCUUGCACAAUGGACGAAAGUCUGAUGCAGCAACGCCGCGUGGGGGAUGAAGCUUCUCGGAGUGUAAACCCCUUUCGACCCGGAAGAAUGCCCGCAAGGGUAUGACGGUACGGGUAUAAGAAGCCCCGGCUAACUACGUGCCAGCAGCCGCGGUAAUACGUAGGGGGCCAGCGUUGCUCGGAAUUACUGGGCGUAAAGGGUCCGUAGGCGGUGUAGCAAGUCGAUAGUGAAAUCUCUGGGCUUAACCCAGAGGCUGCUAACGAAACUGCUGUGCUAGAGUGUGAGAGAGGCGAGUGGAAUUACGGGUGUAGCGGUGAAAUGCGUAGAUAUCCGUAGGAACAUCCGAGGCGAAGGCGGCUCGCUGGAUCACAACUGACGCUGAGGGACGAAAGCUAGGGGAGCAAACAGGAUUAGAUACCCUGGUAGUCCUAGCCCUAAACCAUCAGGACUUGGGGUUUGCCCUGUACGGGGCAAGUCCCGUAGCUAACGCGUUAAGUCCUGCGCCUGGGGAGUACGGUCGCAAGGCUGAAACUCAAA
rnacentral:rRNA from 1 species